rnacentral:lncRNA from 1 species
CUUUGUACUAAAGUUGCCUGAAGCGUUUUUGCCAACUUUGCUGAAAUAGGCCUACCUCUUCCUGGUUUGACCUUCUAAUGUGGCCAGCAGUUUUUUCUUGCUUGCCCCUUGGCUUUUGGACAUGGAAGAUAAGGAUGGUCAAAAAUAAUAUGUGGAAAGAAAAAUAUUGGAACUGGUCUCCCAAUGUGGAAGGUCACUAUCAUGACUCAUGAACUGAAGACCUGGUGAUGUCCGCAGGUUUUUGAGUAAUUACAUUGGAAUAUCGCUGAUUUCUGGGCCUGAAUAUAUUGCACAAGAUUUCCCUAGCCUAAAAUGAUACAUUUUAAUAUAUUGGGUUUAUGGUUCCCGUCCCCUUGAUCUGGUCAUGUAAGUGUUAUUUAUUGCUAUAAUUGUAUUAUUUGCUUAAUAAUGUGUUAUUACGUUGUUAUGUAAUGUUUGUGUUGUUUUUAUGACUGGAAACCGCCCUGAGUCCCAUCUGGGAGAUAGGGCGGUAUAUAAAUAAAGUUUUAUUAUUAUUAUUAUUAUUAUUAUUAUUAUUAUUAUUAUUUUAUUAUGACACAGCAAACAAGUCGAACACUUCCCAAGUGUCUAGGACUGUGUGAUGUAUUUUCGGAUGAUGCGUGCAGAUCCCAGUUGGGUGGCCUUUUCAGUUGGCAGAUCGUGAUUUUGUCAAUGUCUAUUGUUUCCAAAUGCCGGCUGAGAUCUUUUGGCAUGGCACCCAGUGUGCCGAUCACCACCAGGACCACCUGCACUGGUUUCUGCCAGAGUCUUUGAAGUUCAAUCUUGAGGUCCUGAUAGCAGCUGAGUUUUUCCUGUUGUUUUUUGUCAAUGCGACUGUCACCUGGGAUGGCGAUAUCAAUGAUCCAAACCUUUUUCUUUUCCACAACUGUGAUGUCUGGUGUGUUGUGUUCCAGAACUUUGUCAGUCUGGAUUCGGAAGUCCCACAGUAUCUUUACAGUAUAUUAUUAUUAUUAUUAUUAUUAUUAUUAUUAUUAUUAUUAUUACUAUUACUAUUAUUAUUAUUUUAUUGUAUGACACAGCAAACAAGAUAGACAUGCUGGAUUUCAUAUCACAAAAUCACAAGUCGAACACUUCCCAAGCGUUUAGGACUGUGUGAUGUAUUUUCGGAUGAUGCGUGCAGAUCCCAGUAGGGUGGCCUUUUGCAGUUGACAGAUUGUAAUUUUGUCAAAGUCUAUUGUUUCCAAAUGCCGGCUGAGAUCUUUUGGCACGGCACCCAGUGUUGUUGUUGUUGUUGUUGUUGUUGUUAUUAUUAUUAUUAUUAUUAUUAUUAUUAUUAUUAUUAUUAUUAUUAUUAACUGCAUUUCUAUACCACUUUUCUCACCCCUGGGGGGACUCAAAGCGGUUUACAGCAUAAUAAAUGGCAAAAUUCAAUGCCUCACAUAUGUAUAAAAAUACAUCGCAUAUCUAAAUUAAAAAUAUAUAACUGUAGAUUAAACCAUUGAAACUAUAAAAAUAUCAAACAUAGACAUACAUAUGAAACAUGUUAUUGCAGAAAUUGCAUAGAUCCCUUCUCUUCUCCCACCACCACCCCCCAGCUCCCUUUCCAUAGAGUUUCAACUCUUUUACAAGACAAUAUGUUCAAUCAAUCAAUCAAUCAAUCAAUCAGUAAAUCCUUUCAUUCUUGAUUUUCCACAAGAAUGGGACGUAAUGCAGUCUACACAAUAUAAAGAAAUACAAGUAAAGAGAAAUAAAAAGUAGAAUUUGAAUGGGAGAUUGCCAAUGAACCCUAGGUGCUGUAGACUCCAUUUCAGAGGAAGGAACUGGCAAAGGUAUUUGUUGUCUAAAAAAGCCCUAUAAAAUUCCUAGGGUCAUCAUAAGUUGAUGGGUAUCUUGGAGGCACACGCAUACACAGCUGUGUAGUGUUAAAGGAAGCCUAAUAUUCCAUACUCAUUCUGUUAUUUUUGCCAUAUAAAGAUGUUUGUUCAUUUAUUCAGAUUUUUUAAAAAUAAAUUUAUUUCAGGUUUACUUUAAAGAGAAGGCAUUCCUUAGGCACUGUGUGUAAGGAUUCUAAAAUGUUAAUAAUACAAUACAUUACAAUACAAGAUUUUUUUUUAAGAAAUGUUACACUGGAAAGAGAAAAGAUGGUUUGUAUUUUAAGGAUAAAAUGACCAGUAUUGCCUUUUUGCUGACAUGCUUGUUUUCAAUUUCAAUGGAGAGAAUAGUUGAACCAUUAAAAAAAACAUGAGUAAGAAGAACAUCUCUCUCAG